rnacentral:lncRNA from 1 species
AUAAACAAAGAAUUUUACCUUUAAGAAAACUUAAUUUACACGUAAAUUUAUACAACAUAUUUUGCACUUCCACACAACUGCCCGCUCUUCGUAUAAACUAAUCAACGUGUUAUUCAUGCCGAUAUGUCCAGGGGCAAUGUUCAUUCAGGCUUAGUUCGUUCAGCACGAGCUUUUUGUGACUACAGAUACAUGUACAAUAUUAUUGUCAGAUCUGCAAGCGGAAAAUCAUGCAAGCUGGGAGAGUCUAGAAGCUGUAAACUGCAGACAGGAUAUGCUAACUGACAAGAUUGUUGUACAGAGCCUGAAUUGUAAUGAUAAUGAUGAAGAUGAUAACAAUGAUGAUGAUGGCAAUGAUGAUGUUGGGUACCACUGCGAAUCAACCAUAUGUUCUCUACAGUGUUUACCUUGGCUAGAUUAGGCAGUAGAAACACCAAAACAGUGUACAGUGUACAUAGCAUGUAAAGACUGUCUUGAUGGCAAAGGUAAAGAUCACAGAUGCAGCAAGCAACAGACAAGUAGCAGUCACAGAUAAAACAACAUUACAUUGCAUAGUUAAAAGCAUGUUACACUUUCAACAGGAUUGCUGUAAAUAAGCGCAUUUAACUGACCAGUGUAAAGAUUCCUGUAAAGCAAAUGACAAGUCUAACAUCCAGUCAGUGAACACAAAUGUAGGAUACAGAUGAGAGGGAACCAAGUGUUGACAGAUACAGAAUGCAGAUGCUGGUCGACCCUGGUAACAGAAUGAGCUACGAAUGCGAAUGUAGAUGGUGAUCGUGACUUAUUUUCAUGGAGGUGUAGAUGGGACUAACAUGCACUACCUGAUGCGGUGGUGUUCCUAGUGAAUUUCUGAUUGUGAGACUAUUUCCAAACCAGCUCAGUUCAUAAACUAAGAAAGUCUGAGGGUAUGCAUGAAAGGGUGACUAAAUUUGGAAGAGUGAAAGACAGACAGAGGAUUUCUCUGACAUGGGACAAUUUCCAAAACAGCCAAGAAAUCUUCACAGAUGUGAAUCCACUGUCAGUAAAGGUACUAAAAGUACUGAAGAUGACCAAUGAAAAACAUUCUUUCAAAUGGUACUAUUUGGCGGGAAUGUAGGACGUUUUGGCCAGCGGACGUUUUGGCCUAGGAUAUAAUUUGGCCUAAAUAUUUUCAAGUCCCUUCGAAGAGAAUGUUUGUGGAAGAAAGCUCCUGGCUACAAGAGUCCUCUGCUGCACUGAUACAAGCAUUGUUGGCUGUGAUUUGUGACAAGAAGUUUGACAAAUGUUUUGAAGUUCAGCAUAUUGUGAUAAAAUCAAACAUGAACAGAAGAAAAAUCAAAUUUUGGACAGUUUUGGAAAUGAUCUAUUAAUUGUAUUUUCUGUUUUAUAACUUGUGCUUACCAGAGCACAAAGUGCUUAAGGUGAGCUAUUGUGAUAAUUCAAUGUCUGUCUGUAAGUUAUUUUCCUCGAACAACCUCCUCUUAAAGAGUUUGUUGGACGUUGAUGAAACUUUGCCUGGGUGUUCCUUUGGUGGUCAUCUUCUUACUUGUUCAGAGUGUACUGAUCAGAUGCAUAUAGGAGCUGCCUGAACUAAGAAUAGAAAAUAUUUUAUUAAACAGUGUCUCCUAACCCAUUGAUCUAUCUAAUGUAUAAUGGUUUAACUGGAUGACCCUGGACUCUGAUUUGUUAAAAAUAUAGCUGCUAGGGUCAGUUUUCCCCAAUAUGUAUAUACAUGAAGUGUAAACUUUGAAUAUCUUGUCAGAAACAAGGUCAGGGUCACUUGCUGCUAAAAUAGAACAAGUAUGCCCACUGGCAGAAUGUCGAGCCUGCCAGCUGUCUAAGUUUGACCUUUACCUUAGACCUAGGGACCUGGUUCUUGUGCAUGACACUCUGUCUGAUAAUGGUGAACAUUCAUGCCAAAUUACAUCAA